rnacentral:rRNA from 1 species
CACGUAGGGCGCAAGCGUUGUCCGGAAUUAUUGGGCGUAAAGAGCUCGUAGGCGGUCUGUCGCGUCUGGUGUGAAAACUCAGGGCUUAACCCUGAGCUUGCAUCGGGUACGGGCAGACUAGAGUGCGGUAGGGGAGACUGGAAUUCCUGGUGUAGGCGGUGAAAUGCGCAGAUAUCAGGAGGAACACCGGUGGCGAAGGCGGGUCUCUGGGCCGUAACUGACGCUGAGGAGCGAAAGCAUGGGGAGCGAACAGG